rnacentral:rRNA from 1 species
AGUCGAACGAGAAAGUGGAGCAAUCCAUGAGUAAAGUGGCGACCGGGUGAGUAACACGUGACUAACCUACCCUCGAGUGGGGAAUAACCUCGGGAAACCGGGGCUAAUACCGCAUAACAUCUUCGGAUCAAAGGAGCAAUCCGCUGGAGGAGGGGGUCGCGGCCGAUUAGCUAGUUGGCGGGGUAACGGCCCACCAAGGCCAUGAUCGGUAGCCGGCCUGAGAGGGCGCACGGCCACACUGGAACUGAAACACGGUCCAGACUCCUACGGGAGGCAGCAGUGGGGAAUUUUGCGCAAUGGGGGAAACCCUGACGCAGCAACGCCGCGUGGAGGAUGAAGCCCCUUGGGGUGUAAACUCCUUUCGAUCGGGACGAUUAUGACGGUACCGGAUGAAGAAGCACCGGCUAACUCUGUGCCAGCAGCCGCGGUAAUACAGAGGGUGCAAGCGUUGUUCGGAAUUAUUGGGCGUAAAGGGCGCG